GGUACAGCUCAGUGGUAGAGUGCUUGCCUAGCAUGUGUGAGGCCUGGUUUUGAUCCCCAGAACCA
rnacentral:tRNA from 1 species